AUUGAACGCUGGCGGCAGGCCUAACACAUGCAAGUCGAACGGUAACAGGAAGCAGCUUGCUGCUUCGCUGACGAGUGGCGGACGGGUGAGUAAUGUCUGGGAAGCUGCCUGAUGGAGGGGGAUAACUACUGGAAACGGUAGCUAAUACCGCAUAAUGUCGCAAGACCAAAGAGGGGGACCUUCGGGCCUCUUGCCAUCGGAUGUGCCCAGAUGGGAUUAGCUUGUUGGUGGGGUAACGGCUCACCAAGGCGACGAUCCCUAGCUGGUCUGAGAGGAUGACCAGCCACACGGGAACGGAGACACGGUCCAGACCCCUACGGGGGGCAGCAGGGGGGAAUAUUGCACAAGGGGCGCAAGCCUGAUGCAGCCAGGCCGGGGGGAUGAAGAAGGCCUUCGGGUUGUAAAGUAUUUUCAGGGGGGAGGAAGGGAGUAAAGUUAAUACCUUUGCUCAUGGGCGUUACCCGCAGAAGAAGCACCGGAGAACUCCGG
rnacentral:rRNA from 1 species